AGUAGCCGCGGUAAUUCCAGCUCCAAUAGCGUAUAUUAAAGUUGUUGCAGUUAAAAAGCUCGUAGUUGAAUUUCGGGAUUGACGUGAUGGUCAUGCCUUAAGGGGUAUGAACUGUUACUGUUGAUUUCUCACCUUCUGGAGAAACUUGAUGUCCUUUAUUGGGUGUCUUGCGGAACCAGGACCUUUACCUUGAAAAAAUUAGAGUGUUUAAAGCAGGCAUUUUUGCUCGAAUACAUUAGCAUGGAAUAAUAGAAUAGGACGGCAUGGUUCUAUUUUGUUGGUUUCUAGGAUCACCGUAAUGAUUAAUAGGGAUAGUUGGGGGCAUUAGUAUUCAAUUGUCAGAGGUGAAAUUCUUGGAUUUAUUGAAGACUAACUACUGCGAAAGCAUUUGCCAAGGAUGUUUUCAUUAAUCAAGAACGAAGUUAGGGGAUCGAAGACGAUCAGAUACCGUCGUAGUCUUAACCAUAAACUAUGCCGACUAGGAAUCAGACGAUGUUAAUUUUUAAUGACUCG
rnacentral:rRNA from 1 species